CCGGAGGGAGCGGUGUCCGGGCCGUUUGUCCCCCCAGAGACGAAUUACACAUUUGGCUGAACAAAACGGAGCAACGACGAGCUGAAUUCAUUCCGAACUGUCCGGAGAAGAACUCAGAAAGCUGUCUUCUGCCUCUUUUCAGAAGAGGAAAAGCCGGCCGGUAAAUUACAUCAUUUUUUUUCUGAGUUACGGAACACCGAUGAGGGGAGACCGUACUGACGGGUUGGCCCAGAACGCUUGUUCUGCUGGUUGCCCUGGAAAGAAAUGGGAAAUGUGGAUGGUGGAAUGCCCAUCAUCUAAACUGUAACCCAGUGAGUAACCUACGAUGAAAGCAAUACAGGUUGCAGAAUGCUCCUCUAGCCCUUGAUUCCUGUGUACCUCGGACCUCCUUCUGUGAACCCUGCCCGCCCUCCUCCCUCCAUCACACCUCGUGGAUUACAAACUCUCCUGGCUUACCAAAUCCACCAACUUCAGUCUCGCCGGCAAACAACCACUUGGUUUCUCCACUCCCCCUCUGGCGGAUCCCUCCACCAUUCUUUUUUGCCUCCUGGUUCCUGUUCCCUGCAUUAUUCACCCAGUUGUAAAUAAACACUUUACCGAACAA